rnacentral:rRNA from 1 species
AUACGUAGGGAGCGAGCGUUACCCGGAAUUACUGGGCGUAAAGAGCACGUAGGCGGUUGGAUAAGUCUUCUGUGAAAGCUCCUGGCUCAACUGGGAGAGGUCAGGGGAUACUGAUGGGCUCGAGGGAAGCAGAGGAAAGCGGAAUUCCCGGUGUAGCGGUGAUAUGCGUAGAUAUCGGGAGGAACACCAGUGGCGAAGGCGGCUUUCUGGGCUUUUCCUGACGCUGAGGCUCGAAAGCGUGGGGAGCGAACCGGAUUAGAAACCCCGGUAGUCC